rnacentral:lncRNA from 1 species
GGAAGCGAAGCCCUAAGAUGGGCGGAGAGAAGCAGAUGUGGAGGUGAUGGCGAAGACCCAGAUAUAAGCAGGGUUGGCCUGUCCAAGUUCAACAGUGGGCUUCCACACCCUCCCACUUCCAGCUGGGUUGGCCAAGGACUUUCAACUGCGGCACCAGAAGGGACCUUAUAGCUGAGAAAAUUGAAGCUCAGAGAGCUGCAGCAGCUUGCCCAGCAUCAUACGGCACUGGAAAUGGUCAGCCAAUGUGUUCCGUAGAGCACGGUGGGUAACACACCCUUCAUCUUUCCAGGACCCCAUCGCCAACCUCUUCCUGUACCUCUGCUCCGCUGAGCACACAUUAAAAAAAAGAAAAGGCCGGGCACAGUGGCUUAUGCCUGUAAUCCCCGGACUUUGGGAGGC